rnacentral:rRNA from 1 species
CCCUUAGAUGUUCUGGGCCGCACGCGCGCUACACUGACGGAGGCAGCGAGCAUGUCCUUCGCCGAGAGGUGUGGGGAAUCUUGUGAGUCUCCGUCGUGCUGGGGAUAGAUGGUUGCAAUUGUCGAUCUUGAACGAGGAAUUCCUAGUAAGCGCGAGUCAUCAGCUCGCGCUGAUUACGUCCCUGCCCUUUGUACACACCGCCCGUCGCUACUACCGAUUGGAUGGCUUAGCGAGAAUUUUGGAUCGGAGCCCGGGUGGUCGGCAACGGUCGCCCGGGAGAUCUGAGAAAUCAUACCAGCUUGGUCAUCUAGAGGAAGUAAAAGUCGUAACA